CACUCCUACGGGAGGCAGCAGUGGGGAAUAUUGCACAAUGGGCGCAAGCCUGAUGCAGCCAUGCCGCGUGUAUGAAGAAGGCCUUCGGGUUGUAAAGUACUUUCAGCGGGGAGGAAGGCGAUAAGGUUAAUAACCUUGUCGAUUGACGUUACCCGCAGAAGAAGCACCGGCUAACUCCGUGCCAGCAGCCGCGGUAAUACGGAGGGUGCAAGCGUUAAUCGGAAUUACUGGGCGUAAAGCGCACGCAGGCGGUCUGUCAAGUCGGAUGUGAAAUCCCCGGGCUCAACCUGGGAACUGCAUUCGAAACUGGCAGGCUAGAGUCUUGUAGAGGGGGGUAGAAUUCCAGGUGUAGCGGUGAAAUGCGUAGAGAUCUGGAGGAAUACCGGUGGCGAAGGCGGCCCCCUGGACAAAGACUGACGCUCAGGUGCGAAAGCGUGGGGAGCAAACAGGAUUAGAAACCCUAGUAGUCCCAUGAU
rnacentral:rRNA from 1 species